AAGGCUUUUCAAGGCUGUCAGUCGCUUGCCAGCCUAUCUGCUCUUUGUCGCAGCCUCCUAGGCCAUACGGCGAAAAAUUCUUUGGAGUCUUGGAAGGGCCCCACUUGUCGAUGCUGUCCACAUUCCACAUAGCCUGCGCCUUCAGGAUCUGCACGGAUGUCUCAGCAUUUUCUCUGCCGGAUGUUUUGGAUGGUAAGCAAGGACCUAUAAAAAGGAUUCUCGGCGAGACAAUCGUCCAUCUGCUUGCGCAAUUGUGACUGGAGAAAACGUUAAGAGGAUCAGGCGGAUCAGGUCCGGCCUCAUACAGGAUGUCAUUGCAUGUAAUCUUAUCCGUAAUUCUGCUGGUGUCAAAAAGUCCUUUUGAUCAAAAUAAAAACUUUAUCAACAA